GACUCAGCGAUCCCAGCUGCUUUGACCAUGUGAUUUUACCAUUGCAUCUGGAAGUUUACCCCACGAUUGCCAUGGAGAAGGAAGAGAGAGCCAGAAGAAGAGAAUGGGCAUCCCUGGCAGAAGACUGGAGGCUUUUUGCUGUAAAGGAAGCAGACCCAGCUGAGGGAGGAGUUCUGGACAAAAGGAUAAGAGAGAGAUAUGCCC